rnacentral:rRNA from 1 species
CCUACGGGAGGCAGCAGUGGGGAAUAUUGGACAAUGGGGGGAACCCUGAUCCAGCCAUGCCGCGUGUGUGAAGAAGGCCCUCGGGUUGUAAAGCACUUUCAGUGAGGAAGAACGCCUGGUGGUUAAUACCCAUCAGGAAAGACAUCACUCACAGAAGAAGCACCGUCUAACUCCGUGCCAGCAGCCGCGGUAAUACGGAGGGUGCGAGCGUUAAUCGGAAUUACUGGGCGUAAAGCGCGCGUAGGUGGCUUGAUAAGCCGGUUGUGAAAGCCCCGGGCUCAACCUGGGAACGGCAUCCGGAACUGUCAAGCUAGAGUGCAGGAGAGGAAGGUAGAAUUCCCGGUGUAGCGGUGAAAUGCGUAGAGAUCGGGAGGAAUACCAGUGGCGAAGGCGGCCUUCUGGACUGACACUGACACUGAGGUGCGAAAGCGUGGGUAGCAAACAGGAUUAGAUACCCUUGUAGUC